GAUGAACGCUGGCGGCGUGCCUAAUACAUGCAAGUCGAGCGAACGGACGAGAAGCUUGCUUCUCUGAUGUUAGCGGCGGACGGGUGGGUAACACGUGGAUCACCUACCUAUAAUACUGGGAUAACUUCGGGAAACCGGAGCUAAUACCGGAUAAUAUUUUGAACCGCAUGGUUCAAAAGUGAAAGACGGUCUUGCUGUCACUUAUAGAUGGAUCCGCGUUGCAUUAGCUAGUUGGUAAGGUAACGGCGUACCAAGGCAACGAUGCAUAGCCGACCUGAGAGGAUGAUCGGCCACACUGGAACUGAGACACGGUCCAGACUCCUACGGGAGGCAGCAGUGGGGAAUAUUGGACAAGGGGCGCAAGCCUGACGGAGCAACACCGCGUGGGUGAAGAAGGCCUUCGGGUUGUAAAACCCUUUUGUUGGGAAAGAACAGCAGCAGAUUAAUACGCCGCUGUUCUGACGGUACCCAAAGAAAAAGCCCCGGCUAACUCCGUG
rnacentral:rRNA from 1 species